AUGAACGCUGGCGGCGUACCUAAUACAUGCAAGUCGAGCGAACAGACGAGGAGCUUGCUCCUCUGACGUUAGCGGCGGACGGGUGAGUAACACGUGGAUAACCUACCUAUAAGACUGGGAUAACUUCGGGAAACCGGAGCUAAUACCGGAUAAUAUAUUGAACCGCAUGGUUCAAUAGUGAAAGACGGUUUUGCUGUCACUUAUAGAUGGAUCCGCGCCGCAUUAGCUAGUUGGUAAGGUAACGGCUUACCAAGGCGACGAUGCGUAGCCGACCUGGGAGGGUGAUCGGCCACACUGGAACUGAGACACGGUCCAGACUCCUACGGGAGGCAGCAGUAGGGAAUCUUCCGCAAUGGGCGAAAGCCUGACGGAGCAACGCCGCGUGAGUGAUGAAGGUCUUCGGAUCGUAAAACUCUGUUAUUAGGGAAGAACAAAUGUGUAAGUAACUAUGCACGUCUUGACGGUACCUAAUCAGAAAGCCACGGCUAACUACGUG
rnacentral:rRNA from 1 species